CGCUUCUUUCCUCCCGAGUGCUUGCACUCAAUUGGAAAGAGGAGUGGCGGACGGGUGAGUAACACGUGGGUAACCUACCCAUCAGAGGGGGAUAACACUUGGAAACAGGUGCUAAUACCGCAUAACAGUUUAUGCCGCAUGGCAUAAGAGUGAAAGGCGCUUUCGGGUGUCGCUGAUGGAUGGACCCGCGGUGCAUUAGCUAGUUGGUGAGGUAACGGCUCACCAAGGCCACGAUGCAUAGCCGACCUGAGAGGGUGA
rnacentral:rRNA from 1 species